UUCAAUAUGUGCUGCUGCUAUCUCUCUCUCUACUAUUUCUUUUUCAUUUUUUUUAUUCCUUAUUCUCUCCUCUUUCUUCCUCAUGCUCAUAGAUCUAAAACAUUCAUGGAGUUUAAAUGUUCGAAGAUGGCCAACAAAGGGUUAGAAUACUCAGAUCUGAAAGGAAAGUGAAGAAAUAAAAAAAAAUUUGCACUGCGUUUUUUGGACCAGACGAUUUUGGGAAACCGAUUCCGAUUAUCUAGUUAGAGUGGUUCCUUCUAGUUCUUACGAGCUCAUUUUUUUUUUAUCAAUUUUUAAGGCAAGCACUUUUUUUUUUUUUUUUUUUUUAUCAAUUUUUAAGACAAGCGGUUUUAAUAAUCAGACCAAACCAAAUUAGAUCACGAUUCACGGUUUAACCCGUUUAACCAGCCGGUUUGGUUUUAAAAACAUUGGUAGUAAAUAGUAGUAACCCAUUUUUUUUAUUACAAUGAGCUGAAGAUCAAACUCAAUAUCUAAAACAUACUACCCAAAUCUUUCGUGAUGAGAUGAAACCUGAUCGCUGGGUAAUAACCCAAUUUCUCAAUAUUCACAUUCCACUCUCUUUACUCCAUUCAAAACACUAUACUUCCCAUUUCCUCGUCUUCGCGACUGAGAAACACAAAUGAAGAUUCCAAAGACGAUGACGAUGGAUGACAGUAGCAGCAAUAAUCCAAACUCUUCAUCUUUUCUAAUCCAAAACUCUGACCUAAUUCUUCCAUGGCUAACCCAUCAACAACUCGCUAAUCUCUCCUUAACUUGCAAAUCUCUCCACAAUCUCACCAAAACCAUAACCCUAAUUCGCAUCUCCGAUGCUUCUAGAACCUUCGAGAAUUUCCCAAUCCCAUUCCACAACAACAAUCACAAUUUCCACAAUCAUACUUAUUCUUACUUUCUCUACACACCUUCACUCAUUCUCUCUCAUAAUCUCCCUCGUUAUCAACCAUGGGGAUGGAAGGUUAGUUCUGUAAUUUCACCAAUUCCGGUUAAAACGGUCGAUGAAUCGGAAUCAGUGAGUUUUGUUGAUGUGGUUGGGUGUGAGUGUGGUGAGGUUUGUGAUGAUGAUGAUGGGUGUUUGUGUUUUGAUGGUGGGGACAGUGAUGUUGGAAGAGAGUGUGGGGUGGGUUGUUCUUGUGGGAGGGAGUGUGGGAACAGAGUGAGUCAAAAUGGUGUUAGGGUUAGGGUUAAGAUUGUUAGGUGUGAAGGGAAAGGGUGGGGUUUGUUUGCUGAUCAAGUGAUUGCCAAAGGAGAGUUUUUGUUUCAAUAUGCAGGUGAACUAUUGACAACCAAGGAAGCACAGAGGAGACAACAAUAUUAUGAUGAACUGUCAUCACGCGGUCGUUUCUCUGCCGCUCUUUUAGUUGUAAGAGAACAUCUUCCAUCUGGAAAGGCAUGUUUGCGAUUGAACAUAGAUGCAACAAAAAUUGGAAACGUUGCACGGUUUGUAAAUCAUUCGUGUGAUGGUGGUAAUUUAAGCACAAAGCUAAUUAGAAGUUCAGGAUCUUUGUUCCCCCGCCUUUGCUUCUUUGCUUUGAAAGAUAUCCAAAAAGACGAAGAGCUUACUUUCAGCUAUGGAGAAAUCAGGAAAAGGUCCAACGGGUUGCCAUGCUACUGCAACAGCCCUUCUUGCUUUGGAACAUUGCCCUCUGAAGACACUUGAAAGUUGAAACAUUUAUCUUCCUCAUAAUGAGAGAACCAGGAGUUUUGAAAAGGCUCUAAGCUGUGUGAUGAGGGUGCCGUCUCCAUUGUGGGGUCAAAACCAGGGUUGAAGUUGUUCAUGUUCAUGAGGUGUUGGUGCAACCAUAUGAAUUGUUGGAAUAUACUGGCUGCACUGCUACGUUGAAGUUUGGCUGAUGUAACAUCUGAGGCUGCUGCUGGGGUGUUGUUUGAAGAGCAUUUUCACAUGUAAAUCCUCUUUUCAUCAGCUCAGUUUCCAUCAUUGAGAUCUCCGCUUUUGCUGCCACCUGGAUUGCCCCCAUAAGGUAAGUUAUUCAAUUUUCAUACAUGAAUAAAAAGUUUUGUGCUUCUUUUUGUUUAUAAUAUUUACUUUUUACCUUUAUAUUCUGUUUUUUGUUGAAAAGUAAUUAAAUGGAGGUUAAUUUAAUCUAGGCAUUCAAUUUUUUUUAUUGCUUUCAUCUAAAGUGAAUAUUCGUUUUAAAGAGUAAAAUAAGACAUUUCCAUUGUUGAUGAGAAAAUUAGUAGGUGAUAUUUCAAGACAUUUAUGACUUAUUAUGUAUGUAUAUGCAAUAUCAUUUAUGUUACUUACAAAUUUUAAAAUGUCUUAUUAGUUAUUUUAUUUUCAAAAGUGCACUGUUUACUUUUGUAGCACCGACACUUUUGAUGGAAAGUGAAGUGUCUGGUAUCCAACACCAACACCAACACAAUACUGACACAUUCUUCUUCCUCAUAAUGAGAGAACCAGGAGUUUUGAAAAGGCUCUAAGCUGUUUGAUGAGGGUGCCGUCUCCAUUGUGAGGUCAAAACCAGGGUUGAAGUUGUUCAUGUUCAUGAGGUUGUUGGUGGAAGCAUGAGUUGUUGGCAUAUGCUGGCUGCACUGCUAUGUUGAAGUUUGGCUGCUGUAGCAUCUGAUGCUGCUGCUGGGGUGUGGUUUGAAGAGCAUUUGCACAAGUAAAUCCUCUGUUCAUCAGCUCAGUUUGCAUCAUUGAGACCUCUGCUUGCAUUGCUGCCACCUGGAUGGCCAUAAGUCGUCUUCCUCAUAAUGUGACAAUCUGGAGUUUGAAAAGGCGCUAAGCUGUGCAACGAAGGUGCCGUCUCCAUUGUGAGGUCAAAAACCAGGGUUGAAGUUGUUCAUGUCCAUGAAAUUGUUGGCGGAAGCAGAUGAGUUGUUGGAGUAUGCUGGCUGAACAGAUACAUUGAAGUUUGGCCUCUGUAGCAUUUGAUGCUGGUGUGUGGUUCGAAGAGCACUUGCAUAUGCAUAUCUGCGAUUCAUCAGCUGAGAUUGCAUCAUUGAGACCUCUGCUUCCAUUGCUGCCACCUGGAUUGGCCUUAAAUGAUCUUCCUCAAAAUGAGAGAACCAAGAGUUUUGAAAAGGCUCUAAGCCGUGUGAUGAGGGUGCCGUCUCCAUUGUGAGGUCAAAACCAGGGUUGAAGUUGUUCAUGUUCAUGAAAUUGUUGGUGGCAGCAUAUGAAUUGUUGGAAUAUGCUGGCUGAACGUUGAAGUUUGGCUGCUGUAGCGUCUGAUGCUGCUCCUGAUGUGUAGUUUGAAGAGCAUUUGCACCUGCAAAUCUUCUGUUUAUCAGCUCAGUUUGCAUGAUUGAGACCUCUGCUUGCAUUGCUGCCACCUGGAUUCGCCAUAAGGUGAACUAUUGAAAAACCAAGGAAGCACAAACGAGACAACAAAUUAUGAUGAAUGGGCAUCGCGUGCAAGAUUCUCUUCUGCUAUUUUAGUUGUAAGGGAACACCUCCCCUCAGGAAAGGCAUGUUUGAGAUUGAACAUAGACGCGACAAGAGUAGGAAACAUGCACGGUUUGUAAAUCAUUCAUGUGAUGGUAAGCAUAAAGUUAAUUAGAAGUUCAUGAGCUUUGCUCCCCCGCCUUUGCUUCUUUGCUUUGAAAUUGAAAGAUAUCCAAAAAAUGAAGCUUAUUUUCAGCUAUGGAGAAAUCAAGAAAAAGUCCAACAAGUUGCCAUGCUACUGCGACAGCCCUUUUUGCCUUGUAACAUUGCCCUCAGGAGUCACUUGAAAGUUGAAAAAUAUAGGACUUUUUAUUUUAGUUUUAAUGAGAUGUGACGGGAUCCUUCAUUUGGGGGUCGAUAUCGUUGUGUAUUAGGAAAGAGUAGUUUUCAUGAAUUUGACAAUAGUUCAUAGGCAUUGUAGCAGCAGCUAUGUAACACCGAAACUGCAUAUUGAAUGUGUGUCUGGUAUACAAAUCUGACAAGACACUGGCAUUUUUGGCUACAUUCAAUCACUUUUAUUUUCUCUAAUUUUGGUGUCUGUGUCAGAACCCUGUGUGUGUUUGUGCUUGAUAGAGAAACAGUCUCAUUAAUAUCUAAUAACAGUUGGAACAAUGUUAUUUAACUACUAAUCUCUUUAUGUCUA